rnacentral:rRNA from 1 species
AUAAGCUAUUAAGGGCUAAUGGUGGAUGCCUAGACUAUAAGAGGCGAUGAAGGACGUACUAGACUGCGAUAAGUCUUGGGGAGCUGUCAAGAAGCAUUGAUCCAGGAAUUUCCGAAUGGGACAACCCAGUAUAAUGAGAAUUAUAUUAUCUAGAUUUAUCUAGAGGCGAACCGAGGGAAGUGAAACAUCUCAGUACCUCGAGGAAGAGAAAUCAAUUGAGAUUCUGUUAGUAGCGGCGAGCGAAAACGGAUUAGAGCGGUUAUAUUUAGCAUAUUAGUUAGUAGAAGUAGUUGGAAUGCUACGCGAUACAGAGUGAAAGCCUCGUAUACGAAAACCUUUAUGUGGAACUAAGAUAACGAACGAGUAGGUCGGAACACGUGACAUUUUGACUGAAUAUGGGGGGACCACCCUCCAACUCUAAAUACUACUUAUAGAUCGAUAGUGCACAAGUACCGUGAGGGAAAGGUGAAAAGUACCCCAGUGAGGGGAGUGAAAUAGAACCUGAAACCAUUAGCUUACAAUCAUUCGGAGCCCUAUGUCUUGUACAGGGUGACGGACUGCCUUUUGCAUAAUGAGCCUGCGAGUUGUGGUAUAUGGCAAGGUUAAGUCAAGUACGAAGCCGUAGCGAAAGCGAGUGUGAAUAGCGCGAAUUAGUCAUAUGCUGCAGACCCGAAACGAAGUGAUCUAUCCAUGAGCAGGUUGAAGCUGGUGUAAGAGCCAGUGGAGGACCGAACCGGUGUGCGUUGAAAAGUGCUCGGAUGACUUGUGGAUAGGGGUGAAAGGCCAAUCAAACUUCGUGAUAGCUGGUUCUCUCCGAAAUAUAUUUAGGUAUAGCGUCAUGUAAAUUAGUAUAAAGGGGUAGAGCACUGAAUGGGCUAGGGCUGCUUACCGCGGUACCAAACCCUAUCAAACUUCGAAUACUAUAUACUUUACCAUGGCAGUCAGGCGUAGGGUGAUAAAAUCCUAUGUCGAGAGGGGAACAACCCAGACUAUCAGCUAAGGUCCCUAAGUCGUACUUAAGUGGAAAACGAUGUGGAGUUACUGUGACAACCAGGAAGUUGGCUUAGAAGCAGCCAUCUUUUAAAGAAAGCGUAACAGCUCACUGGUCUAGUGAUUCUGCGCGGAAAAUAUAACGGGGCUAAAGUACGCACCGAAGCUAUAGAUUCGAAUUUAUUCGAGUGGUAGGAGAGCGUUCUAUUCAGCAUUGAAGCGAUACCGGUGAGGAGUCGUGGAGCGGAUAGAAGUGAGCAUGCAGGCAUGAGUAGCGAUAAUUAAAGUGAGAAUCUUUAACGCCGAAAACCCAAGGUUUCCUACGCGAUGCUCGUCAUCGUAGGGUUAGUCGGGUCCUAAGUCGAGUCCGAAAGGGGUAGACGAUGGCAAAUAGGUUAAUAUUCCUAUACUUAUAAUAGAGCGUGAUGUGGGGACGCAUAGAGUUAAUCGAGCUGGCUGAUGGAAUAGCUGGUCGAAGGAUGUAGGUUGUAGCACAGGCAAAUCCGUGCUACAUUCAACCGAGAUCUUACAGGCCGAACAAAAUCUUCGGAUAGCGUUUGGAAUCGAUGAUACUGUCGUGCCAAGAAAAGCCACUAAGCAUAUCUAUUAUAACCCGUACCGUAAACCGACACAGGUAGGUGGGAUGAGUAUUCUAAGGCGCGUGGAAGAACCCUGGUUAAGGAACUCUGCAAACUAGCACCGUAUCUUCGGUAGAAGGUGUGCCUACUUAGGUAUUAGGGAUUUACUCCCGAAAGCUUGAGAGGUUGCAACAAAGAGUCCCUCCCGACUGUUUACCAAAAACACAGCACUUUGCUAACUCGCAAGAGGAUGUAUAAGGUGUGACGCCUGCCCGGUGCUCGAAGGUUAAUUGAUGAUGUCAGCGUAAGCGAAGCAUUUGAUCGAAGCCCGAGUAAACGGCGGCCGUAACUAUAACGGUCCUAAGGUAGCGAAAUUCCUUGUCGGUUAAAUACCGACCUGCAUGAAUGGCGUAACGAGAUGGGAGCUGUCUCAACCAGGGAUCCAGUGAAAUUGUAGUGGAGGUGAAAAUUCCUCCUACCCGCGGAAAGACGGAAAGACCCCGUGCACCUUUACUAUAGCUUUACACUGCUAUUGGGAUAUUCAUGUGCAGGAUAGGUGGGAGACUAUGAUCUAUGGACGCAAGUACAUAGGGAGUCAUCCUUGAGAUACCACCCUUGAAUAUUCUGAUAGCUAACUGGGAACAAUUAUCUUGUUUCAGGACAAUGUAUGGUGGGUAGUUUGACUGGGGCGGUCGCCUCCUAAAAAGUAACGGAGGCUUACAAAGGUUGGCUCAAUCCGGUUGGAAAUCGGAUGUUGAGUAUAAUGGCAUAAGCCAGCCUGACUGUGAGACAUACAUGUCGAGCAGAGACGAAAGUC